rnacentral:misc_RNA from 1 species
UGAGCUCACUUGCUGUUGCUUUCGCUCUCUUCCUCUGCUUUGGGUUCCACUCUCCAGAUCUGAACCUAAAACUCGCAAGGUUUUAAAUUUCCUUUUUCUAGAACAUGGGUCGUGGAGUUAGCAGUGGUGGAGGUCAAAGCUCAUUGGGCUAUCUGUUUGGGAGUGGAGAGGCUCCAAAGCCUUCCAUAGACAAUGCCCAACAUGCUUCAAAUGAUGGCCAAGCAGUGAAUAAGUUGCCUCCCUCCAAACCUGCUGUUGCUCCU